UUUUCGAAAGUUAUACAUCGUCGGAAAGGCCAUUUAAAGACGCGUCGAUAGACCCAAAGGGUCACUCAAGUUUCUCAAAAACGUCGGAGUUAUGGCCGUAAGUGUUUUUCGAGACAUUUGGGGUAAUAACUCCGAAAAGUCGAGGUCACAUGUCGGGGUCGAGGGGCAAUUUCGAAAGCCAAAGAACGCGGCUUUCCAACGAUACCUCACACUUUAAGAUCGACUCGCGAAUAACGAGGGGGCAGCCUCUCAAAGAUUGCCAAAUUUUGUCAAAAUUUUCAAAAAUUUUUUUCUCAAAAACCAAAAGGCCGAUCGAGGAACGGAUUACUUAUUUCUUAAACGCCGGUCGAGUAGAGCGCACAAAAAAAUUACGGUCCAAAUCGCAGACAAAAAAUUUUUUUCAUAAUCAUCCCUUGGUCCCCCCUUCCUAUUUAAAAAAAAAAACUUUUUUAUUUACCGUCCGAUUUUCAAAAUUCGACCGGCGUUGGAUAGAUCUCGUCGAAAAAGCAAAAAUCCAAUCAUAAAACGUUCGGGGUCAUAUAUAAACGAGGGCGCUAGAGGGCGAUUUAGGGGAUGACAAAAAAAUUAAAAAUUGACGAAAUUUGGCACACACGUUUGUACGGACCUUAGAAAGUCUCCGGUACAACUUUUACCCCUUUACGACCAAAGGGAAGGGUAAUAGGGGGUGAUAAUAGGUUAGAGGUUAGGUUAGAGGUUAGGUUAGAGGUUAGGUUAGAGGUUAGGUUAGAGGUUAGGUUAGAGGUUUGGUUAGAGGUUAGGUUAGAGGUUAGGUUAGAGGUUAUGUUAGGUUAGGUUAGAGGUUAGGUAGCAUUGAAAGCAUGCUGCGAAAUAAAAUUACUAUCUGAUUAGGAGAAUACAAAUUCACUACUAAACUUGGAUUUAUACUCAGUAGCCGGCUAACAUUCAACGUGAGGGUCGUAAAGUUCGGUAUUCUGCCAGGAAAACUUGCUACUACAAAACUCAAAUCUUAAGGGCGCCAGAUCUAGCGAGGUAAUAAAUCCUCUUGAUCAAGGAGGAUAGGCUCUUCCAAGCAUAGCAUAAUGAAGGUGAAAAAAACUAGGUAUUGUGGCAGAGAGGAAUUUAAUACGUCUGUAUUUCGAUUUAAAAUUAAAUAUGAUUAUUAUGUAACUACAAAUUAUAAUUGUGGUGUGAAGCACGGUAACAAUAAUAAGAAAAAAAACUAAUAGGAUUAAUUCGUCCACACCGCAAAUAAUCAACAGUGUCAACAAUAUCUUACUACGGUAAUUAAUACGGGUUCUGGAUUCGCUAGCUAGCCCCGCACCCUGUUUAUAUUUGGGCCAAAUAGAGGUUCGUACAAAUAGACCUCCCAAACUGAGAACAAAACGAAUUUUCCUUCACAGGUAAGUAUUAUCAUGAAUGUAAUUAUUUGUAAUUAAAUGGUAAGAAUUAACUCUUUUGAUUUCAGUUUACAUAGCCCUUGAAGAGGGUUCAUCAACUCAAAGCCACAAAAAUUAACAAACGCAGAUGCAGCAAGGUAAGGUACCAGUAAGUGCCAGAUUUUAGGCAGCGGAACAAAAAAAGCUGAAAGUUAUGAGAUACUCUAUAUCUAGCUUAAGAGAUACCUAAUUCUUACCUAGAUGUUAUAGCUUGCAACUCGUCCGCAAUGUUCUAAACUACAAAUUACAAAGUUUUAAUACUACA